rnacentral:rRNA from 1 species
GCAGUAGCCGCGGGAAUACGUAGGUGGCAAGCGUUGUCCGGAAUUAUUGGGCGUAAAGGGCUCGCAGGCGGUUUCUUAAGUCUGAUGUGAAAGCCCCCGGCUCAACCGGGGAGGGUCAUUGGAAACUGGGAAACUUGAGUGCAGAAGAGGAGAGUGGAAUUCCACGUGUAGCGGUGAAAUGCGUAGAGAUGUGGAGGAACACCAGUGGCGAAGGCGACUCUCUGGUCUGUAACUGACGCUGAGGAGCGAAAGCGUGGGGAGCGAACAGGAUUAGAUACCCGUGUAGUCCCUGUCUCUUAUAC